CGGGCCGAUAAGCACUCAUAAUCAAAAAAGUGCAUUUGAAAAAUACUUUUCUUCACUCACUCAUCACUUGGGCGGAGCAGCCAUGAACGUAUCGUCAUCCGCUGUCGGGUGUCGGCUGUUAAAGCUCGACUGCAUUUGUGAUCGUAAACGGAUGGCUUAUGAGUGCGGCAAUUGCCAUCAUUACUUCCACGGACGCAUUGGCAAGAAAUGUCCGGUGCAUCCGAAUGUAAUAUAUUUGAUGGACUUUCGCUCUUGCCCGUACUGCAUGACUCCGACCUCAAACAUCAUGAUAUCCCCAAUCUCAUGGGAGCAGAUACGCAAAAUCGAGGAUGCUCCCCUACCUGACGCCGAUGAUGGGCUUUAAUUAAAAAUUCAAAAUAGAUAACGGCUGGCUAACGAAAUCGGAUUUCAUUGUAUUGAGCGCUUCUCUGCUCGAUCUUCAACUCUAAUCUAGUUAGCACGUGUAUGAUAAACUAAACCAUAUGCGUUGUUCUGCAAAAAUAAAUAACAUUCUAAGAAA